AAGGAAAGAUGAAGAAGAAUGAAAUUACCUUUGAUUGAUUUGAGACGAUGGAGAGAUUGAUGUGAGACGAUGGAGAUGCUUGACUAGAGAAUAACGAAUCGUUAAGAAGAGAGGCGAAUUAGGGUUUACUAUAAGAGAAUAUUACGUGAUUAGACACUUUUUUGAAAGUUUAUCCGUAAUUAGGCACUUAAAAAUCAUUAGGCACUUUGAAUAAUUAAAAUUACUUGUUCACCCUCGUAUCGUCGGUUUUCUAUAACCAAACAAAUCAAAUCUAUUUUCACUAAACCAAUUCAGAUUUAUGGAGUCCACGAUUUUGUAGUUGCCUUUGUGAUUUAAAUUUUUUUUCCAGAAUCGUAAAAAUCCAAAUCCAAUAAAAAAUCCUAAAUUACAAUUUCUCGAAAAGGGGACUCCGGCGACGGGAUAUCCAUCUCCUCCGUCACUGUCCACCACCACUGCUUUUCACACUACACUCUCGUUUGCUCUUUCAACCGUAAAACACCAAACCCAAUUCUCUUGUCAUUUCCUCUAAAUCUCUGCAAUUUCUUAAAUCGAUUUGGAUUUACUUUGCCUGAAAAUCUCUUAACUCGUACUGUCCAAACUCAAUUUCAAUUUCAAUUGAGGUUACUUCGAGAAAAGUUCAAGAAUUUCGGAACAACUAAGGUAAAGUUUUGUCAUGUUGACUUCGGAGAUCUUGUUCGUAAUUCUGUGAUAAUGUUUGAUAACUUCUCUGCCCAGUUUGUUUGAAAUUCAGUACUUGAGGUUCUCUAUUGGACAGAAGAUGAACAUAUGGACUACAACACUUGGACAAUCCGUAAUGGACAACCACACAUUUUGUUUGCAGCGUAUGUGUCGUUACAAAAUUGAAAAUCAUUGUCCACGACCAUACAUGACUGCACAGCUUGGUGUUUGAUAAUUCAAGGAAAAAGCCAUAUAAAGGUUCUAUUUCUUAAUCUUACAUUUUG
rnacentral:sRNA from 1 species